AUAAUACCCCUAAGAAAAGUUAUGUGAAUGUGGUCUCUCUCUCUCCCAAGGUAUCUUAUUGUAUGUAAUAUUUUCAGACCGCAGUUAACUAUGGAUAACUGAAACCAAGAAAAGUGAAACCACAGGGAGAUGACCACACAUGAGAGAAAGCAGCUGGAUGAAUUUAAGUGGAAGCCGACUUGAACUUCCGCUACCAGCCAGUGGCCCCAGCUCACAUUGUGUCUGGAACUGGUGAGUUCUUGGUCUCGCUGACUUCAAGAAUGAAGCUGCAGACCCUCACGAAAGUAUCUGAAGUGAAAAGAAUGGUACUGAGAUAUUGCCUGUUUCCAGCACCGCUUCAGAAUGAUCCAGAACAAUGUCUUCUCAUAGAAAUGGAAUGGGAACCACAUAUGCCACUUUACAUUUCCUAGUAAGUAAAAGAAACAGGUGAAAUUAAUUCUAAUAAUAAAUUUUAUUUAACACAGUAUUCAAAAAUAUU
rnacentral:lncRNA from 1 species